rnacentral:rRNA from 1 species
CCUCAAAUCAGGUAGGACUACCCGCUGAACUUAAGCAUAUCAAUAAGCGGAGGAAAAGAAACUAACAAGGAUUCCCCUAGUAACGGCGAGUGAAGCGGGAUGAGCUCAAAUUUAAAAUCUUGCAGCCUCAGGUUGUACGAGUUGUAGUCUAGAGAAUCGUUUUCCGCGUUGGCCUGUGUACAAGUCCCUUGGAACAGGGCGUCAUAGAGGGUGAGAAUCCCGUCCUUGACACAGACUACCAAUGCUUUGUGAUGCGAUCUCGAAGAGUCGAGUUGUUUGGGAAUGCAGCUCAAAAUGGGUGGUAAAUUCCAUCUAAAGCUAAAUAUUGGCGAGAGACCGAUAGCGAACAAGUACCGUGAGGGAAAGAUGAAAAGCACUUUGGAAAGAGAGUUAAACAGUACGUGAAAUUGUUAAAAGGGAAACGAUUGAAGUCAGUCAUGCUCUCCGAGACUCAGCCGAUUCUGUCGGUGUACUUCUCGGUUGGCAGGCCAGCAUCAGUUUUGAUCUGUGGAAAAGGUUGGAGAGAAUGUGGCAUCUUCGGACUGUGUUAUAGCUCUUCUUCGAAUACAUAGAGCGGGACUGAGGAACGCAGCGUGCCUUUUAUUAGGUUGGCCUUCGGGUACAUACACG